rnacentral:rRNA from 1 species
UACGUAGGGGGCGAGCGUUGUCCGGAAUUAUUGGGCGUAAAGCGCGCGCAGGCGGUCCCUUAAGUCUGAUGUGAAAGCCCACGGCUCAACCGUGGAGGGUCAUUGGAAACUGGGGGACUUGAGUGCAGAAGAGGAGAGCGGAAUUCCACGUGUAGCGGUGAAAUGCGUAGAGAUGUGGAGGAACACCAGUGGCGAAGGCGGCUCUCUGGUCUGUAACUGACGCUGAGGCGCGAAAGCGUGGGGAGCAAAC